AACGAACGCUGGCGGCAUGCCUAACACAUGCAAGUCGAACGAGACCUUCGGGUCUAGUGGCGCACGGGUGCGUAACGCGUGGGAACCUGCCCUUAGGUUCGGAAUAACUCCCCGAAAGGGGUGCUAAUACCGGAUAAUGUCUUCGGACCAAAGAUUUAUCGCCUUUGGCUGGGCCCGCGUUGGAUUAGCUAGUUGGUAGGGUAAAAGCCUACCAAGGCGACGAUCCAUAGCUGGUCUGAGAGGAUGAUCAGCCACACUGGGACUGAGACACGGCCCAGACUCCUACGGGAGGCAGCAGUGGGGAAUAUUGGACAAUGGGCGAAAGCCUGAUCCAGCAAUGCCGCGUGAGUGAUGAAGGCCUUAGGGUUGUAAAGCUCUUUUACCCGGGAUGAUAAUGACAGUACCGGGAGAAUAAGCUCCGGCUAACUCCGUG
rnacentral:rRNA from 1 species